rnacentral:rRNA from 1 species
GCAAGUCGAACGAUGAAGCUCUAGCCUGCUAGAGUGGAUUAGUGUCGCACGGGUGAGUAAUGCACAGGAAUCUCCCUCGUAGACUAGGAUAACCACUGGAAACAGUGAUUAAUACUGUAUAUUAUGGAGGCGGGAAAGUGUUUCGCUACAAGAUGGGCCUAUGGUCUAUCAGCUUGUUGGUAAGGUAAUAGCUUACCAAGACUAUGACGGAUAACUGGUCUGAGAGGAUGAUC